AGAGUUUGAUCAUGGCUCAGAUUGAACGCUGGCGGCAGGCCUAACACAUGCAAGUCGAACGGUAACAGGAAGAAGCUUGCUUCUUUGCUGACGAGUGGCGGACGGGUGAGUAAUGUCUGGGAAACUGCCUGAUGGAGGGGGAUAACUACUGGAAACGGUAGCUAAUACCGCAUAACGUCGCAAGACCAAAGAGGGGGACCUUCGGGCCUCUUGCCAUCGGAUGUGCCCAGAUGGGAUUAGCUAGUAGGUGGGGUAACGGCUCACCUAGGCGACGAUCCCUAGCUGGUCUGAGAGGAUGACCAGCCACACUGGAACUGAGACACGGUCCAGACUCCUACGGGAGGCAGCAGUGGGGAAUAUUGCACAAUGGGCGCAAGCCUGAUGCAGCCAUGCCGCGUGUAUGAAGAAGGCCUUCGGGUUGUAAAGUACUUUCAGCGGGGAGGAAGGGAGUAAAGUUAAUACCUUUGCUCAUUGACGUUACCCGCAGAAGAAGCACCGGCUAACUCCGUGCCAGCAGCCGCGGUAAUACGGAGGGUGCAAGCGUUAAUCGGAAUUACUGGGCGUAAAGCGCACGCAGGCGGUUUGUUAAGUCAGAUGUGAAAUCCCCGGGCUCAACCUGGGAACUGCAUCUGAUACUGGCAAGCUUGAGUCUCGUAGAGGGGGGUAGAAUUCCAGGUGUAGCGGUGAAAUGCGUAGAGAUCUGGAGGAAUACCGGUGGCGAAGGCGGCCCCCUGGACGAAGACUGACACUCAGGUGCGAAAGCGUGGAGAGCAAACAGGAUUAGAUACCCUGGUAGUCCACGCCGUAAACGAUGUCGACUUGGAGGUUGUGCCCUUGAGGCGUGGCUUCCGGAGCUAACGCGUUAAGUCGACCGCCUGGGGAGUACGGCCGCAAGGUUAAAACUCAAAUGAAUUGACGGGGGCCCGCACAAGCGGUGGAGCAUGUGGUUUAAUUCGAUGCAACGCGAAGAACCUUACCUGGUCUUGACAUCCACGGAAGUUUUCAGAGAUGAGAAUGUGCCUUCGGGAACCGUGAGACAGGUGCUGCAUGGCUGUCGUCAGCUCGUGUUGUGAAAUGUUGGGUUAAGUCCCGCAACGAGCGCAACCCUUAUCCUUUGUUGCCAGCGGUCCGGCCGGGAACUCAAAGGAGACUGCCAGUGAUAAACUGGAGGAAGGUGGGGAUGACGUCAAGUCAUCAUGGCCCUUACGACCAGGGCUACACACGUGCUACAAUGGCGCAUACAAAGAGAAGCGACCUCGCGAGAGCAAGCGGACCUCAUAAAGUGCGUCGUAGUCCGGAUUGGAGUCUGCAACUCGACUCCAUGAAGUCGGAAUCGCUAGUAAUCGUGGAUCAGAAUGCCACGGUGAAUACGUUCCCGGGCCUUGUACACACCGCCCGUCACACCAUGGGAGUGGGUUGCAAAAGAAGUAGGUAGCUUAACCUUCGGGAGGGCGCUUACCACUUUGUG
rnacentral:rRNA from 1 species